GUGAUUCUCCUGCCUCAGCCUCCCGAGUAGCUGGGAUUACAGGGGCACGCCACCACACCCAGCUAAUUUUUGUAUUUUUAGAAGAGACGGGGUUUCACCAUGUUGGCCAUGAUGGUCUCGAUUUCUGACCUUGUCAUCCGUCCGCCUUGGCCUCCCAAAGUGCUGGGAUUACGGGCGUGAGCCACCGUACCCAGCCUGCUUCCUGUUUUAACAGACGAAGAAAUGGAAUAACUUCCAACAAGUAAGUAGCCACACAGGUUGGAGCUGAAGGAGUGCCCAGGCUGCGGAUGGAGGAAGGACGUGCUCGGGAGAAGGUGAAGAUGGGAGAGAAGCAAGAUCUUCUGUGUUUGGACCAAGGACACAUUUCCUUACUCCAUAGCAGCUGUGGUCAGUGGCUUAGCUCGGACAAGGAGAUGAGAGCCCAUGUGUUGUGAGGGUUCUUCUGGGAACUCUGAGAAGGCAGGAGCCGCCCCCGCCCUUCACUGCCUCUCUUCCAUUCUGCAGCAUGGAAUAUGGAUGUGUGGUCUGGAUGUACAGACACCAUUUUGGACCAUAAAGACAAGGACGAUUGUCUAAGGAUGACACAGCCAGAGCACUGAGAGUGGCGAGAAGGACAGGGGAGCUGCUGUGCCAAGCAGGACUGUCUCUCUUAAGAGAAAAAUAAAAUUUA
rnacentral:lncRNA from 1 species